rnacentral:lncRNA from 1 species
UAAGUAUUUAAUAGACUAAACUUUGUGUAUAUUGAGUAGGGACUGCUGUUUGAUUACUUGAUAAUUUCUUGGUUGACUGAGUUGAUAUUAGUUAUGUUUUUUGCUUGUUAUAAAGUGAAUUGAUUGUGAUGUGUUGUGAAGUGAAUUGAUUGUGAUGUGUUGUGAAGUGAAAUGAUUGUGAUUAAGGAUUGAUGACUUUUAUAUGGAUAUUGUGUGAUCGGGAAAGCUGAGCCGGGCGGAUAGCUACCCGAGUAUGUGAGAUGGCAAGACUAAGCCGGGCGGAUAGUCUUGUCAAGUGGUUACUGAAAUUUAAAAUGUGAGAAAAUGUAAGGAUGAGUCAUCUGAUCCUAAU